CGCCGCCCCCGACGGCAGCGCCGACGCCGAGGCCCGGCCCGGCCCGGCCCGGCCGCCUCCCUCCGCCGCGGCCUCGACGGCGCGGCCCGCCCCGACGUGCGGCCCUGGGGCUGCGGGGCCGGGCCUCCCCCCGGGCGGGCCCUUACCUGAGCGGGAGCCCCCUCGGCCAUGGCCCUUUGUUCCCUGCCCGGUGCCCCGGGGGGCCGCGGCCGGGAGGAUCCGGCGCCCGUUCGCUGCUUCACCUCCGCCCGCCGCCGCCGCCGGGCAUCGGGCAGCGCCCGGGGAGCAAACCCUCAUCAGCCACAGAGGGAUGAGGACAAGGCCACCACUGCUGUCCCACGUCCCACUGCCAACCUGGAAGGAUGGGAGCACAUUGCUCAACCCUGGGCCAGCGGGAUGGGACGGCUGCCAGAGGCAGCAGGAGUUGGGCAGCUGCCCAGGAGCUGCUCCCGGGUGGGACAAGGAGGAAAUGGAGCUUCCGCUGCAGCCAACGCCAACCUCAGCCUACAAGCACGGCACUGGGACUGCCAGCCUGCAGCGCUGCAUCGCGGGGAGAGGUGACCAACGUGCCGGGGGGACACGCGGCAAUGGGGCGGCCCAGUAGGGUGAAGCGGGGCACACGACGAGGGGCAGUGCUGGAGCUCCAGCAGUGUUCGUGCACCUCUGGUUGUGCCAGCAGUGUUUGUGCAUGCUGCAGCCCUCACUCAGCUGGUGCAGUUCACUGGGGAUGCAGGUAACGAGCAGCCAGGUGUGCACAGCCACCACUGGGAGCGGGGCUGCAAUCACUCACCCCACACGGGCUUCAGAAUGGAAACACUGUAUUGACAGACUUUACAAAAGUUAUUACAAAACACAACCACUGAUCAGCAGCCAACGAUACACAGCGGAAGAGACACUGCUCACAGUCACCUUGAGAACAACACCACUGAGUGCCAAAUUCAACCGAUAUUUACAGAGACGUCUGAAAAACUCUGGUCAGUCACCGCAUACAUUGAAGUGUUUUAGAUCCAUGGUGAGAUAUAGUGCCACACAUUUCAUUGAAUAAUAAUAAUAAUAAUAAUUAAUAAUAAUAAUAAUAACAACAAUAACAACAACGUCCUACUUCUAGGUUAACUAAAAACCGAACAGCUCUUUACAGGGGUUAGGAGAAGUUCCUUUCACUUGUCUGACUUACCUGAGUGUGAGACCAAACCCAGUAAUAAAAUAACAGUAAAACCGUCUUCGCCAACAGGAGCUCCCAUGACAGUCCAGCAGCACUGCUCCCUCAGGCCAGAGGGAAACUACAGCCCGACUGGUGCAAGCAAUGUCCUUCCAAAGCACAGAGACGUCUCCUCUUUGGGUCAGACCCAACUGCGCCUCUGUGCACCCACACCUCCUCUCCCGACUCCUCCUGCUCCAAUGGCCUCAGCCCUUUCUCCUCCCCGUCCUUUCCUCCUCCACCUUCUUCUUCUCACCUUGCACUUUGCUGCUCUCUCCUCUCUGCUCUUCUGCCUUCGACAAGUUCUGCGUCACGUCCCUAACCACGGCUCUGCUUUGCCUCUGUCCCCUUGAUGGCAGCCCAGCCUCGUGGCACGGGACUGCUGCUCGAGGUGCGUCACUGCAGCCGGAGCGGGCGGCCGGCGGCCCGGGAAUGGCAUCUUCCCUCCCUCCCUCGUCCAGCCUUGUGGUGAAACGAGCAGAAAAAGAAUGAAAGCGAAAGCUUGUCACUCCUGAAUAUGCA
rnacentral:lncRNA from 1 species